rnacentral:rRNA from 1 species
UUCCGGUUGAUCCUGCCGGACCCACUGCUAUCGGGAUAGGACUAAGACAUGCUAGUCAUGCGCUUUCUAGCUAAUGUGAGAGCGCGGCAUACAGCUCAGUAACACGUGGCUAACCUGCCCUUGGGACGGAAACACCCCCGGGAAACUGGGGUUAAUUUCCGAUAGGUGAAAAAUUCUGGAAUGAAUUUUCGCUCAAAAGACGUUUAUGUCAUGCUCAUAGGCGUUGCCCAGGGAUGGGGCCGCGACCGAUCAGGUUGUUGGUGAGGUAAUGGCUCACCAAGCCUUUUACCGGUACGGGCCGUGAGAGCGGGAGCCCGGAGAUGGGCACUGAGACAAGGGCCCAGGCCCUACGGGGCGCAGCAGUCGCGAAAACUUUGCAAUACACGAAAGUGUGACAAGGCUAUCCCGAGUGCCAUCCGCUGAGGAAGGCUUUUACCCAGUAUAAAUAGCUGGGAGAAUAAGGAGAGGGCAAGUCUGGUGUCAGCCGCCGCGGUAAUACCAGCUCUCCGAGUAGUGUGGAUGUUUAUUGGGCCUAAAGCAUCCGUAGCUUGCUAAGCAAGUCCCCUGUUAAAUCCACCGAUUCAAUCGUUGGAUUGCGGGGGAUACUGUUUGGCUAGGGGACGGGAGAGGCCGACGGUAUUUCCGGGGUAGGGGUGAAAUCCUAUAAUCCCGGGAGGACCACCAGUGGCGAAGGCUGUCGGCUAGAACGCGCCCGACGGUGAGGGAUGAAAGCUGGGGGAGCGAACCGGAUUAGAUACCCGGGUAGUCCCAGCUGUAAACGAUGCAGGCUAGGUGUUUGGGCGGCCACGAGCCGCCCUAGUGCCGCAGGGAAGCUGUUAAGCCUGCCGCCUGGGGAGUACGGCCGCAAGGCUGAAACUUAAAGGAAUUGGCGGGGGAGCACCACAAGGGGUGAAGCUUGCGGUUUAAUUGGAUUCAACGCCGGG